rnacentral:misc_RNA from 1 species
CAGAUUUCAUUGCAUUAGUUAAAAUGUAAUUAUCAUUUCAUUACAUAUAAAUUAUAGCCAAACAAAGUAAUGAAACAUACAAUGUAAUUGCAAUUCCAUUGCACCUUUGAUUACGUCCUACCAACAAUAGCAUAAGGUUAUCAAAUAUACAUGGAUCAUGAAGGAAAUUUUCUUCUUUGCUCUAUGGCUAGGGAACAAAUUUUUGAGCGAAAUAUUGUGAAAAUAAAAGUUAUUUAAAAUAAAAUAAAAUAAAACAAUUUAGACCAACAAUUAUAGAUAUAUGCACUUUCAGGAACUAACAUUUAGCUGCUAUAGCAAUCAAUGAGACGUAUAUCUCAGCUCAAAUUUAAUUAAUUUCGGAGUAAUUUUAUUGGCCAAAUGAUUCAGUCAUAAAGCCAUCACCACUGCCAGUAACACUUAUCUUCCCCUGAUUUGAACGAAGAAGGGCUGAAUCAGAAGAAUCUCCUUACUCAGUUUCCAUUAGGUGUGCCCCUUAUAAAUAGAAUUUGUGAUGGUUUAUCAUAUGUAACAUGGUAAACUGAUCAGAAUAUACAUCCAGAAAGUGGGGAGAAAGGCAUGCAACUAGGUCAUCCCACCCAAUUCCCCAAACAUAGGGGAAGAAAAAAGGAGGUGCAGAAGUCCAGAUAACAAAAUAACAACCUUGCAGCCUCUCACAUAACUGAAUUUGCCCAAAUAUUUAACCAAAAGCACAAAGCAGCCAUUGUGAGCAUAACCUCUCUUCAAGAUCUUAAACAUUCUAACAUCAAUUUAAG